rnacentral:rRNA from 1 species
CAGCAGCCGCGGGAACACGAAGGGUGCAAGCGUUACUCGGAAUUACUGGGCGUAAAGCGCACGCAGGCGGUCUGUCAAGUCAGAUGUGAAAUCCCCGGGCUUAACCUGGGAACUGCAUUUGAGACUGGCAGGCUAGAGUCUUGUAGAGGGGGGUAGAAUUCCGCGUGUAGCAGUGAAAUGCGUAGAGAUGUGGAGGAACACCGAUGGCGAAGGCAGCCUCCUGGGAUAACACUGACGCUCAUGCACGAAAGCGUGGGGAGCAAACAGGAUUAGAUACCCGGGUAGUCCCUGUCUCUUAUAC